CCUUAUCCAAACAUAGUGUUAAAGUAAAGCUAGGGUUUUUGGUGUGGCGUCUCUUCUUCGCAAAAGAUCUCUCUCAGCAAUGGCCGAAUCUGCAGCAACAACUAAUGCCUCCGAAACCCUCAUAGAAGCAGAGCCCUCCACCCAAGACAUGGACCUUGAAACCCCAAUCGCCGCCACCGAAGAACAACUCCCCGCCGCCGACUCGAAGCGUUCCAGGGAAGAUUCCGGCGAGGAUAGCGCCGGCGCCAAGAAGCUCAAGGUUGAGAAGUCCCCAGAGGAAGACCGAUUGGAUCAACUGGAAGGAACUGAGGGAGAUAAGGAAUCGGAUCGGGUCAGCGUUGGACCUAAGAGUUUCGUAUCCGGCGACGAUAGCGCCGGCGCCAAGAAGCUCAAGGUUGAGAAGUCCGCCGAGGAAGGCCGAUUGGAUCAACUGGAAGGAACUGAGGGAGAUAAGGAGUCGGAUCGGGUCAGCGUUGGACCCAAGAGUUUCGUAUCCUCGGUGGACAUGUUCGAUUACUUCUACAAGUUCCUUCAUUAUUGGGCCCCCAAUGUCAAUGUCAACAAGUUUGAGCAGAUGGUGUUGUUGGAAUUGCUUAAGAAGGGUCAUCCAGAACCAGAGAAAAAGAUUGGCAAUGGAAUCUCUGCCUUCCAAGUCCGGUUCCAUCCCCAGUUUAAAAGUCGAUGCUUCUUCAUCAUAAGAAACGAUGAAUCAGUUGAUGAUUUCAGCUUCAGAAAGUGUGUGGACCGUAUACUUCCCUUGCCAGAAAACAUGCUAGCAAAAUCUGAUGUCAACAAGGCAUUGGGAGGUGGUGGUGGAGGCCACGGAAAAAGAGGUGGUGGCGGUGGCGGAAGAGGAGGCGGGCGUGGCCGUGGCUAUGGACGCGGCCGUGGAAGAGGAGGUAAGUUGAAAAACUGAGGUGUCAUCUGUUCUACCUGUGAUGGAGAGGUUGGAUAUGUAGUAGAUGAUGAAACAUUACCAGUUGGUCCUAAUUCAUAUGCAGGUUUAAGCUGGCUGAAACAAGAAAAUGAGAUCACUCUGAUGGUAAAAAGAUGGCUGUGCCAUAAGCCAUGAAAGUAGUGUAGUUGAGUGUGUCCGGCGAUCAAUGCACAGUGAGUAUGCAUGAUGCUUCUUUUUGGGAUGAGCUUCCAGUUCAAUCACAUCCAAAUUGGAUGUCCAGUCCAGGUAUCGGAUGCUCAUCACGUUAUCAAAUUUUUUGUUUGGUUGUAAAUUAAUAGUUUAGAUGCUGUUCAUCUUCCUGCACAAUUAAUAAUAGAU